rnacentral:rRNA from 1 species
CCUACGGGGGGCAGCAGUGGGGAAUAUUGCGCAAUGGGCGAAAGCCUGACGCAGCGACGCCGCGUGAGGGAUGAAGGUCUUCGGAUCGUAAACCUCUGUCAGCAGGGAAGAACGGUCACUGUGCUAAUCAGCAGUGAAUUGACGGUACCUGCAAAGGAAGCACCGGCUAACUCCGUGCCAGCAGCCGCGGUAAUACGGAGGGUGCGAGCGUUAAUCGGAAUUACUGGGCGUAAAGCGCUCGUAGGCGGUAUGUCAAGUCAAGGGUGAAAUCCCCGCGCUCAACGUGGGAACUGCCUUUGAAACUGGCAAACUGGAGUGUGUGAGAGGAUAGUGGAAUGCCAGGUGUAGGAGUGAAAUGCGUAGAUAUCUGGAGGAACAUCAGUGGCGAAGGCGACUAUCUGGCACAUAACUGACGCUGAGGAGCGAAAGCGUGGGUAGCAAACAGGAUUAGAUACCCGUGUAGUC